AACGAACGCUGGCGGCAUGCCUAACACAUGCAAGUCGAACGAGACCUUCGGGUCUAGUGGCGCACGGGUGCGUAACGCGUGGGAACCUGCCCUUAGGUUCGGAAUAACUCCCCGAAAGGGGUGCUAAUACCGGAUAAUGUCUUCGGACCAAAGAUUUAUCGCCUUUGGAUGGGCCCGCGUUGGAUUAGCUAGUUGUUAGGGUAAAAGCCUACCAAGGCGACGAUCCAUAGCUGGUCUGAGAGGAUGAUCAGCCACACUGGGACUGAGACACGGCCCAGACUCCUACGGGAGGGAGCAGUGGGGAAUAUUGGACAAUGGGCGAAAGCCUGAUCCAGCAAUGCCGCGUGAGUGAUGAAGGCCUUAGGGUUGUAAAGCUCUUUUACCCGGGAUGAUAAUGACAGUACCGGGAGAAUAAGCUCCGGCUAACUCCGUG
rnacentral:rRNA from 1 species